GACAGAGGCCUCAAGCGUUAGGCGGAAUCACUGGGCUUAAAGCGUGUGUAGGCGGAUCGUUAAGUGUCUUGUGAAAUCCCACGGCUCACCCGUGGAACGGCUGGGCAUACUGGCGAUCUUGGGCCAACUAGGGGCAACUGGAACAAGCGGUGGAGCGGUGAAAUGCGUAGAUAUCGCUUGGAACGCCGAAGGUGAAAACAGGUUGCUGGGGUUGUGCCGACGCUGAGACACGAAAGCCAGGGGAGGCAAACGGG
rnacentral:rRNA from 1 species